rnacentral:rRNA from 1 species
AUGAAUGCUGGCGGCGUGUCUAAGGCAUGCAAGUCGAACGGACAUCAUUAAGUAGCAAUACAAGGUGAUGUUAGUGGCAAACGGGAGCGUAACACAUUGGUAACUUACCUUGCACUCGCGAAUAACUGUUGGAAACGACAGCUAAUACGCGAUAUUGAUGGGGGGACUUAUGUCAUUCCCAUUGAAAGAUUUAUCGGUGCAAGAGAGACCUAUGGUCCAUCAGGUAGUUGGCGGGGUAACGGCCCACCAAGCCUAUGACGGAUACCAGGCGCGAGAGCGUGACCUGGCUCACUGGGACUGAGAACUGCCCAGACACCUACGGGUGGCUGCAGUUGAGAAUAUUCGACAAUGCACGAAAGUGUGAUCGAGCGACGCCGCGUGGCGAAUGACGGCCUUCGGGUUGUAAACGGCUUUUAUGAGGGACGAAUUUUGACGGUACCUCAUGAAUAAGGGGUUGCUAACUCUGU